rnacentral:rRNA from 1 species
CCUGUUUGAACUUGCCAGUAGUAUAUGCGUGUCUCAAAGAUUAAGCCAUGCAAGUGUAAGUACACACAGCCGGUACAGUGAAACUGCGAAUGGCUCAUCCAAGCAGUUAUGGUUCAUUUGAUCGUGCAAUCUGUCACUUGGAUAACUUUGGUCAUUCUAGAGCUAAUACAUGCUGAGGAGUACUGACCUCCAGGAAUGUGUGUAUUCAUCAGAUUAAGACGAAUCUAGGCUUGCCCGGCUGCUUUGGUGACUCUAGAUGACCUUGGGCUGAUUGCAUGUCGCCAUGACGGUGACAAUACUUUCUGAUGUCUGCUCUAUCAACAUUUGAUGUUACUUUCUGUGCCUGCCAUGGUGACCAAGGUAACAGGGUAUCAGGGUUUGAUUCCGGAAAGGGGGCCCGAGAAACAGCUACCACAUCCAAGGAAGGCAGAAGGUGUGGAAAUUACUUAAUCAUGACUUGUGGGGGUAGUGACGUUAAAAUAAUAAAACCAGACUCUUUCGAGGACCAGUAAUUAGUAUGAGUGCACUUUAAAUCCUUUAACGAGGAUACAUUGGAGGGCAAGUCUGGUGCCAGAGGCCACAGUAAUUCCAGCUCCAAUAGUGCAUGUUAAAGUUGCUACAGUUAAAAAGCUCAUAGUUGGAUCUUGGGAUCAGGGUGGCGGUCAGCAGUGAGGUGAGCUUCAGCCUGUCCCGGUACCUGUCUCUCAGCACCCCUUGAUCCUCUUGACCAAGUGUCCUGGGAUGCAAAGCUUUUACUUUGAAAAAAUAGAGUGUUGAAAGCAGCCGGUCACUUCAAUACAUCAGCUAGGUAUAACGGAAUAGGUCUCUGGUUCCAUUUUGUUGAUGUUCAGAACUGGGGCCAUAAUUGAAAGGGAUGGCCGGGGCAUUCAUAUUUUGCCAAUAGAAGUGAAAUUCUUGGACCCACACAAGAUGAACCAAAGCAAAGGUAUUUGCCAAGAAUGUUUUCAUUAAUCAAGAACAAAUUCAGAGGUUCGAAGACGAUCAUAUACUGUUGUAAUUCCGACAUAAAACAAAGCUGACCAGAGAUCCAGCAGCUUUCUUCCCAUGAACCGCUGACCAGCUUCCGGGCUACCAAAGCCUUUGUGUUCUUGGCAAAGUAUGGUUGUAAAGUUGGAACUUAAAGUAAUUGGUGGAAGGCACCAGCAGGAGUGGAGCAUGUGGCUUACUUUGACUCAACACAGAAACCUCACCUGGCCCAGACACGGAAAGGAUUGGCAGAUGGGUAGCUCUUUCUUGAUUCUGUCGCAUGGCCAUUCUUACUUGGUGGAGCGAUUUGUUUGGUCAUUUCCAAUAAGAAACACGACUCCUCCAUGCUAACUGGUUACGUAAUGCCGAGCAGCUUGCUUUCAACUUCUUUGAUGGGUUAAGUGGCAUUCAGCCACACGAGAUCGAGCAAUAACAGGUUUGAGAUGCCCUUAGAUGUCCAGGGCUGCACAGCCUUUGUACUGAACGAAUCACUGUGUGUCAACCAGUGGGUAAACUCAUGAAACCCCGUUCAUGAUAGGGAUUGCAAUUAUUUCCCAUGAAUGAGGGCUUUCCAGCAAACCUGCCCACCAUCACUUUGGGAAGGCUUGUUGCACUGCUGAAGAAGAUGGUGGGCUGGCUACACAGGCUUUAAUGCCUGUGAACCCAUUGUUUGAAACCCUGAUGGUCUUGGCCGACUUCAAAGUGGGGAAGCUAGAUUAG